UUUGUUUAUAUGUAUCAAAAUUUAAGAUCUAUAAAUUUGAUACGUGUUAUGAUCAGAUGAAUUACUAACUUUGAAUACUAUACUUAAUAUAAUAAGAUAGGUUUGAGAAUUGGCGCCUGUGAAGUCGCUAUGAAGAUUUGUCUUAACAUCAGUUGCCUACGACAAUUGCAUGAACACCAUCACCAGCAGUAAGUACUACUUGUAACUCAUGUAGAGGACGUCGACAUUAAAAGAAAAGGAGGAGAGACCGUUUCUAGCUAGGAUACACGACACGCAAGUAGCUCCACUAGCGCCUCUCAUUAUCGAAACCACCACGGGGCUAAGGAAACCUCUAGCAUUGACGAACUCCUCCAGAGCAUCCUAGAUUGGCUCUAUCAUCAGGAAACAAAGACAUGCAGACGACUAGACACGCUCGUCACUUUUCAGGACGAAAUCAAUCGUCUCCACGUCUUCAGCGGCCAUACUCUUACGUCGCCAAGCGAAGAAAUUGCAGCUUGAUUACUACGAACCUGCCUCAGCAACAGAUUGAUGAACAACAAGCACGGCCCAGCAGGCUUUGUCAUAGUGAUCGAUUAAUAAUCAAGCCUUUGGCCCCAAUAACCCUAUAUGUAAUAAUAUAUUAUAACAUAAUAUUAAAAAUAAAUAAACAAA
rnacentral:sRNA from 1 species